UACGUAGGGUGCGAGCGUUGUCCGGAAUUAUUGGGCGUAAAGGGCUCGUAGGCGGUUUGUCGCGUCGGGAGUGAAAACCUUGGGCUUAACUCAGGGCUUGCUUUCGAUACGGGCAGACUAGAGGUAUGCAGGGGAGAACGGAAUUCCUGGUGUAGCGGUGAAAUUCGUAGAUAUCGGGAGGAACACCAGUGGCGAAGGCGGCGACCUGGUCCGAAACUGACGCUGAGGCGCGAAAGCGUGGGGAGCAAACAGG
rnacentral:rRNA from 1 species